CACCUCUGAAGCAACUUUCCAUC
rnacentral:miRNA from 1 species